UGCCUGCUCUCAGAGGAAUUUUCUGCGCUUCCAGUCGCUCUCGCUGGGUGGAUUGCCAGAUGCUUGAGCGUUCUGCAGAGCUGCACAUGAAUGCCAGGGAGUGUCAAGGUGAAACUGCCAGUCAUGACUCAGUGAUGACAACGAGAGAUUAUCUUGGCUUAACCUAAGACAGAAUGGCGGAAUGUAAUACACGGAUAGUUCCUCACUACGUUGUUCAGUGUAUGAAAAGUGCCGUUUGCUGAUCUCUCAAGGCUGAGUAGAAAAUCCCCCAUUUAACUUGAUGCCUGGAAUCAGUGCCUAGUUUUGACACUAGAUACCUGCUGUGAUUGAUGCCUGUAAGCGCAGAAGUCACUGCAGUGUAUAUGGAAGGUGCCAGGGGUCCUGAGCAAUAUCAUCAGACUUCUCACUUGUUGACAGCAUUUGGAGAGUGCAUAGUAUAUCUUUACACAAUUUUGAAUUUUGGAAAGAUCUUAGAAGUAGGACUCAAUCAGAUAAUCUUUUCUGCCAGUCAUAUUGAUGAAUGCACUGCCAUAAUGAACAAAAUGUGAAAUGUCAAAACAGCAUGUAGAUUUUAUAUUAAGCACUCUCCUUGCCAGCCAAAAUGUUAUACUUCCCUGAAUAAUGAUGAUGAUGAUGGUAUGAUAAUAGCAACAAUAUUAAUGGUAAAAUAAUAGUAAUAGCUAACAUUUUACUAGGCAUUCUAUAUGACAUAUAUCUUGUAAGAUCCCAACUCUUUAAUUUAUGAUUAAUAUUUCCUUUUUACUGAUGAGAAAACUAUGCCCAAGUAUGACUUUUCCAAGGACAAGCAGCUAGCAAACAUUUAUCAAAGUCUAGAAAGCCAGGCUUAAGUAGCCUUGUUCUACUAUUCUAGACCACACCCCAUUCUACUAUUCUAGACCACACCCCAUAGUCUAGGCGUACCCUCCUGGGGGUAGCACAAGCUAUUUUCUCUGCUGGUUAAUCUCUUCUUUCACCUCCCUUCACCUUUCAUUCCCACCAGCAAUUUAAACACUACGUCUAAUAGGCAUCUCAAGUUUCCAUAGACUGGGUUACCUGUUCCAUUUAUAUAUCUGUUAACUUUUCUGAGCUUCUCUGCAAGAUAUAAAUUCCUUGAGAGCAGAGGUUGUGGCACCAUUGUAAAUUCUGUGCAUAAUAAGUAUUUGGUGAAUAAAUUAUUAUCAUGGGUUUAUGAUGGCAGCUGUUACUUAGUAAAUCCUAGCCAUGAUCCAGGUAGUUAACAUACUCAUCUCUAAUCCUCAUAAUAGUUCUGGAAGGAAAGUAUACUAUAAAAUUAUUUUUAUUACUAUUACUGCUACUACACCUAUUGUUAUUAUUGACAUUUACAAAUGAGAGAGUAGAAGCUCAGAGAGUUUAAGUAGCUAGUUCUCACUCACAAUGCUAAUAAUUGGCAAAAUUAAGACAAAUUUUUUAACUGUACUUGGUCCCCGGUGGAAGUAGCUUUUGGAUUUGACAUAUUAAUGUCAAGUGAUUAAGCCAUGAUGCCCUUUAAUUUUGCUUGAGUUGCUUCUGUUGCCAUCCAUCUUUUUCAGUCCUAAGUUGGUGCUAUUGGGAAAGAAAAAGUUUAAUCUUUCAUGUCCUCCUGGAGUCUCCUAUUUUGCAUAGCUGUUUUGACUCUGCUGUCUCUAUUGAAUCUCUCUCUCUCUUCCUAAAGUUCAAGAACAGGGGCAGGUGCCCAUGUGCCCACUCCAUUCAGGAGUGGCCCUUGGCCACCUCAUUUCUCGGUGACUUUUGUUGUGCUCAUCUGUUCAGGAAGCCUGGCUUUAAAAUCAUUCAUUUGCUGGUUAAUUGCAUUCUCAGAUUCUCUAAGAAGGCUGGCGCACCUGCUCUCCACUUCACAGUCUCUUUUGAUCUCUCUAGAAAUAUCCAACUUUGAUUAUGUGAAAAUCUUCUGUAACUGUAUUACGUGCCUAGAAAGCAACUGAAAACCUUCAUUGUGACUAUUUUGACCUGAAAGAGAGGCUAUUUUAGGGUUCGCGCGUAGUGACUACAGGGAAAAAAACAGACCUUCUUGUCUCUGUGUGUCAUCCAGUCCAGGAGGUAGGAUUUCAUUCAUCUGAUGCUUGGCAGAUGUUAAACAGAUGUGAGUUGCACAGUUAACACACUUUCAAAUACAAUUUUUAAAAUACGGUUCUACUAUUAAAUUUCUGUUUUCUAAGCAAUCAUGUACUAUUGCUGGGAAAUUAAGGGGAGAAAACAGAAAUAUGACCUAAUUUCUAAAUAAAUGUUAAAGGGGAGAAACAAAACAAAACAAAUGAAAAUAGAAAAAAAUGUAUCAUCAUAAACUAAUCAACAUCAUCUUCAGAAUAUUCACCACA